GAGACCCAGUUUUGAUCAAAUGAGGUCAUCUAGCCAACCACCAUCAACCAACUUGCUAACUUCCAAUUUUCUUGACUUUCUUGGCUCAUGGUAGAUCAUAUAUGCAUAAGAUUAUGAAUUUUUAAGUGUCCCUUGAGAAAUUUGAUCAAUUGGUGAGAUAACUUGUUGGAGAAGUUACUCAAGAUACCCAGUCAAAAUAGGGUUUCC
rnacentral:lncRNA from 1 species